GAAAUACUGGCAAAUAGCUUUUCCUGUGGGAGCCGCCGGGUAGAGAGGAGUGUGGCCUUCUCCUCUCCCCGCCAUGGCGUGUGCUCGUCCACUGAUAUCUGUGUACUCUGAAAAGGGGGAAACAUCUGGCAAAAAUGUCACUUUGCCUGCUGUGUUCAAGGCUCCCAUUCGACCAGAUAUUGUGAAUUUUGUUCACACCAACUUGCGCAAAAACAAUAGACAGCCCUAUGCUGUCAGUGAAUUGGCAGGUCAUCAAACCAGUGCCGAGUCCUGGGGUACUGGCAGAGCUGUGGCUCGAAUUCCCAGAGUCCGGGGUGGUGGAACUCAUCGUUCUGGCCAGGGUGCUUUUGGAAAUAUGUGUCGUGGGGGCCGCAUGUUUGCACCAACCAAAACCUGGCGCCGUUGGCACCGCAGAGUAAACACAACACAGAAACGAUAUGCCAUCUGCUCUGCCCUUGCUGCCUCGGCUUUACCAGCACUGGUCAUGUCUAAAGGUCACCGUAUUGAGGAAGUUCCUGAACUUCCUUUGGUGGUUGAAGAUAAAGUUGAAGGCUACAAGAAAACCAAGGAGGCUGUUUUGCUUCUUAAGAAACUUAAGGCCUGGAAUGAUAUUAAAAAGGUCUAUGCCUCUCAGCGAAUGAGGGCUGGCAAGGGCAAAAUGAGAAACCGUUGUCGUAUCCAGCGCAGGGGACCUUGUAUCAUCUAUAAUGAGGACAACGGUAUCAUCAAAGCCUUCAGAAACAUCCCUGGAAUUACUCUGCUUAAUGUAAGCAAACUGAACAUUUUGAAACUUGCACCUGGAGGGCAUGUGGGCCGUUUCUGCAUUUGGACUGAAAGUGUUUUCCGCAAGUUAGAUGAGCUGUAUGGCACUUGGCCUAGAGCUGCCUCCCUCAAGAGUAACUACAAUCUUCCCAUGCACAAGAUGCUCAAUACAAACCUUAGCAGAAUCUUGAAAAGCCCAGAGAUCCAAAGAGCCCUCCGAGCACCACGCAAGAAGAUUCACCGCAGAGUCCUGAAGAAGAAUCCACUGAAAAACCUGAGAAUCAUGUUGAAGCUAAACCCAUAUGCAAAGACUAUGCGCCGGAACACCAUUCUUCGUCAGGCCAAGAACCACAAGCUUCGGGUGGAUAAAGCAGCAGCAGCACUAGAAGCCAAAUCAGAUGAGAAGGGUGUUCCAGGCAAGAAACCUGUGGUAGGGAAGAAAGGAAAGAAGGCUGCUGGCCUUAAGAAGCAGAAGAAACCUUUGGUGGGGAAAAAGGCUGCAGCUACCAAGAAACCAGCAGCUGAGAAGAAGCCGGCAGAAAAGAAACCCACCACAGAAGAAAAGAAGCCUGUGGCAUAAACUUAAAUUUGUUUAUUCCAUAAAGGUCAAAUCACUUUGGACAGCUAAUUUUGAAUAAAAAUGAUCAAAGGCAAUGAGAAACAUAAAAAAAAAAAAA